rnacentral:lncRNA from 1 species
GGACACUGCAGCCCUCACAAAAGGAGGAAGUCAGUCAUAAGCAGUCCUAGUGCACAAAUCAUCUAGAAUGGAGCCUUCUGAAGAACCUCAACCUGCAACUGGACCAAGCUUGCCUGAGUGUGAAGCCCAAUUACUCCCUUUGUGGUUCUCAGUGGCCCACACGUCUUCUGGUCGUAUUGCUUCCUGUGGUAGGAAAUGGUAUCAUCCAGUCACACACGUCACUGAGAUAUUGUUAAUAGCUCUCUGUACUGAUAUCCAACCCACUGCCAAUUCUAG